rnacentral:rRNA from 1 species
CAGUCGCCGCGGGAAUACAGAGGGUGCAAGCGUUAAUCGGAAUUACUGGGCGUAAAGCGCGCGUAGGUGGUUUGUUAAGUUGGAUGUGAAAUCCCCGGGCUCAACCUGGGAACUGCAUUCAAAACUGACUGACUAGAGUAUGGUAGAGGGUGGUGGAAUUUCCUGUGUAGCGGUGAAAUGCGUAGAUAUAGGAAGGAACACCAGUGGCGAGUGCGACCACCUGGACUAAUACUGACACUGAGGUGCGAAAGCGUGGGGAGCAAACAGGAUUAGAUACCCCCGUAGUCCCUGUCUCUUAUAC